AGGGGGUUAGUUUAACUGGCAAAAUAUCGGCUUCCAAACCCGUAAGUUGAAGGUUCGAAUCCUUCACCCCUUGCCA
rnacentral:tRNA from 3 species